NNNNNNNNNNNNNNNNNNNNNNNNNNNNNNNNNNNNNNNNNNNNNNNNNNNNNNNNNNNNCCGGCUGGCCGCUCGGGUCGGUGGGCGGCUGCUCGGUGUCCGCUCCCCUGCGCCCGGCGGCUGUUGGGGGCACUUCCAGGCACGAAGUAAGUCUGCCAUGUGGAAGGCUGGUGUACAAAGGAAGCGGAUUCAGAUUCUGAGCCAGCAGAGCCGUACACAGACUUGCUCAAACCGUGAACCUGGUUGAUGGCCCCUCCACGCGCAUUGUACAUCUGCUUUGUGAAGAAGUCGCCUAAAGGAAAACCGACUUGUCCUUGAGAUGCCCAUCAAUGCCCCCUGCGUUCCUUGAAGCUAACCCUAACCCUAAAACUCAUGAUUCCUGCCAGUAUGUUAACCUGUGAGCUUUUGAGUUUUUACAAGAUGUGAAAAGUUGAUAAUGCUCUGGAGUGCGUUCUCUGUUAAGAGCAUGUUUCCUGGGCACCUGGAGUGAAACUCUCUUUCUUCUCAGGUGUGUUUGCAUCAGCAUUUCCUGUUGUAGUCAGCAGGAUUCAGAGCAACUCUGUGGGAAGAGCCGCGUGUUGUCUGGCAACUGGCCCUCGGUGCCUGCCCAGGACCGCUGUGCCCGUCCAGCUUCUCAGCACCUCAGGGGCAUGUCGCAUUUACUUAUUCAUUUUAGAGAAUGAAAGAGAGAGUGCGAGCAGGGGGUGAGGGAGACAGUCUCAAGCAGACUCCCAUCUGAGCGCGGAGCCGAAUGGGCAGAUCCUUCCCUGAGAUUGUGACCUGAGCUGGAGCCAAGAGUCAGAUGCCCAACAGACUGAGUCCCCCAGAUGCCACCCUGGGCAGACCUGGAAAACAUGGAUUUCUCUGCAGGGUCAGGGCCUGCCCACUGACUGGGGAGCUGGCCGAAUGCGGCACCUGGGAGCCCAUGGUGUGGCCAGUCUGCAGGGUGAGUGACUGUCGCCAGUUGAGAGCUGCCGUGUCAGAAAGUUUCAGAGGACGGUUUCCUGCUACCUGGAGGUUAUACGCACAGAGGUGGACUCUUAAUGUGGUGGAAGUUUUUCAGUUUUGGCUCCUACAUCUGCCUAAAUUAUGUUCCUGUAUUAGAAAAAUGCACAUAUUUCAUGCAGUGAAAUGCUGUAAAUACAUGCAUUGCUUUUCUGCACAGGACUGUGUGGCUGCUGGGGUAUUCUUCACCAAGACAGGAGAUUGGAUUCCUGGUAACCCCAUGGGUACCCCUUCAGGGGAGGUGAGGAUUGGCACCUCAGAAAUACUUCAGAAUGGGAGGGCUCCUGUCUGGGAUGGUGUUGGGUUCCGGAGUGAAUUAUGGCGCCAGUAACCUGGAGGACUGGCCCGGCCCCACUGCCCUCACGUGGUGAAAGAGGAGCUGGACUCGGCCCCCGUGAGCCACAAACCACAGCACGGCCAGCCGCGUGGGUACAAGGCAGCAUGUGAUAGCGGCCCACGAGGAGCAGGCAGUAUCUGCCUCAUGUUGUCAGUCAUCAGGAUCACUGAACGUAUUUGCCUUAAGGGCAGAGCUGGAGGAAUCUGGUGGGGGUGGUGCGGGAUGUUCUGGGGACCCUCCAGACAGACCUCUGGGAGCCUUGGGUGUUGAAGGAUCCCUGGGCCCUGGGGGCCAUCGAGUUCAAGCUGCCAAUGUUUGAAAGUAUUUCGGGGAGAAACCACUCUUUUUUUUUUAAAGAUUUUAUUUAUUUAUAUUUCUUUUCAGCAUAACAGUAUUCAUUGUUUUUGCACCACACCCAGUGCUCCAUGCAAUUUGUGCCCUCUAUAAUACCCACCACCUCGUACCCCGAACUCCCACCCCCCACCACUUCAAACCCCUCAGGUUGUUUUUCAGAGUCCAUAGUCUCUCAUGAUUCACCUCCCCUUCCAAUUUCCCUCAAUUCCCUUCUCCUCUCCAUCUCCCCUUGUCCUCCGUGCUAUUUGUUAUGCUCCACAAGUAAGUGAGACUAUAUGAUAACUGACUCUCUCUGCUCGACGUAUUUCACUCAGCAUAAUCUCUUCCAGUCCCGUCCAUGUUGCUACAAAAGUUGGGUAUUCGUCCUUUCUGAUGGAGGCUAAUACUCCAUAGUGUAUAUGGACCACAUCUUCCUUAUCCAUUCGUCCGCUGAAGGGCAUCUUGGUUCUUUCCACAGUUUGGCGACCGUGGCCAUUGCUGCUAUGAACACUGGGGUACAGAUGGCCCUUCUUUUCACUCCAUCUGUAUCUUUGGGGUAAAUACCCAGUAGUGCAAUUGCAGGGUCAUAGGGAAGCUCUAUUUUUAAUUUCUUGAGGAAUCUCCACAUUGUUCUCCAAAGAGGCUGCACCAACUUGCAUUCCCACCAACAGUGUCAGAGGGUUCCCCUUUCUGCACAUCCACUCCAACAAAUGUUGUUUCCUGUCUUGUUAAUUUUGGCCAUUCUAACUGCUGUAAGGUGGUAUCUCAAUGUGGUUUUAAUUUGAAGGGGAGAAACCACUCUUGACUGUGGUGAUAUGUAGGUUUGGGAGCCAAAGCUGAGCCCCACAGCCCACAAGGUUGCCAACAGACAAAAGUUAGGUAACAAGGAGGGGGCACCAGGCACCCACAGGCUGAGCCCAAUUGUCAGGGACCUACUGGGUAUGCAUCACCGGAGGCUGGCUGAGAGGGGUCUGACCAGGCAGCCCAGGCCUGAGGGAGCACAAGGAACUGAAAAGGCAGGUAGGAGGGAAGGCGAUCUUGGGCCCCGGGGCAGGCUUCAGAUGGACCCCUCUGACCUCAGCACAGACCCCAGGGAGCUCUGUUCGAGAAGCCCAGGGACUCAAGAAGCCCCUAGUUUCAAAAGGGAUCUGUUUGUAUCCAGUCUGAAGCUGCUGCCUUUGAAAGAAUUUCAGGGUGUAACCGCCCUCUGCCCUGGGGUGGUGCAGUGUGGGGCACUGGCCUGAGCCCAGUGUUCCACGUGGAGCCAACAAGGUUGUGGGGGUGGGUAGGUGAAUGACGAGGGCUGACUGCACACUCAAAGGCUGCUCAGGCCGAGGGGAGGCCUGGACUUGGAACAGGAAACUACGUAGAACUCUGGCCCCAGAACGUGCUUUGGACCUCAGUAGGCCACCAUGGGCCUGAUUGGCAAGGUGUCUUGGCAACUAGCAAACGCGCAUGCACAGUUGGAGGCCAGUGGUGGGGGCUGACUGCACAGAUGUGGCUGCCGUGGGCCCAGGAUGGCCUGGAUCUUGAGAAACAGCCAUGAGUAGCGCCUAGGUGUGGCUGCAAGCUCCUGGUGGGCUGUGGCAUCUGCAGAAGCCAAGCUCUGUUCUACACAACUGCACGUACCACCCCUGAAGGCCGAGCUGGAGCAGUCGGGGCUGCCUUUAUAGAGAGAGACUGGGGGAUGCUCAGGCUGCCUUCCAGAGAGGCACUUCAUCUUUGCUGGAGAAACCUGGGACCCCUCAAGCAGCCAGUCCACCUGGGGAGGGGCAACCUGCCACUUGAGACUGUUUUCAUGUGGGCUCCUGAUGCCAUUCUGAUGCUCUGGAGUCGACCUGGAGCCCCAUAGGACAGGGUGGGCUGGUGGGCUGGCACGGUGCAGGUCAGGGUGCCAGGGUCCUGGAGCAGGGCAGUUGUAGGAAGAGGCCGUGCCCCAGGUGUAUCUACUCUGUGGGUCCCUGAAGUCAGUCUCAGUGAAAGUCUUGGCUGACACAGAGGUGCACAUUGCCACUGGAGGCCGAGCUGGAAGCAGUGGCACACCCUUGUCAGCUCUGGUCUGGAGGCAGCACGGCUGGUUCAUCUUUUACAAAAGAUGCCAGAGCCCGGAUUGCUGGUAAAGCCGGCGACCCCGUCAGGUAGGCGGGCAGGCUCGAUGGGGACUCAGUGCUCCC
ensembl:lincRNA